GACAAUUUAGAGUGUUAACUUUUCUCCUCUACAAAUUGUAUGAUUUUUGUCCUUUGAACUAAGGUAAAAUUAUAAUUAGUUUGGACUUCAGCAGUUUACUCACUUCACUUCACUUGACCUACUCUGACUAAAUAUUUUUUAAGUACCACCAUGAAGAAAGAAAAAUCCAUUUUUUCUCAAUUCUUUUGUUACCUUUAUCUUUUAAAAACAGCAGAUUAACUAUCCUUGACAGAGAAAACAAUUUGAGAUAGAUUUAAUUUGGAACUUAGUUUGUUGAUGUGUCAUUAAUGAUCAUAUUUGGGGAUUGUAUUUUAAAAAGAAUUAUGAUCCAUCAAAAGAAAUUGCUGUAUUUUAAAUACAAUGAAGACUGAGAAUUGCUGGCAUCUAAUGAACUGAAUUAUCUAAUAUGGGAUGCCCUGAGGCAUUUAGUGCAUGCCCUAUCUAUUUUUCAGUUUUUCAAAACUCAAAUAUUCAUACUGUACAUAUAAUAAAAACAAGUUACAGACUUAAUAGAAAUUGAAAUGGUCUCAAUGUUAACAUUAGACCCAUGGAAAAUUAGAGGAUAUGUGAGUACUUUUUUCAUUCUUUUAGUUUUCAGUGUGCCUAGAAGCAUUUGUUUCAUAUAAAAGUUAUAUUACAAAAUUAAUGGACUAAAGGCAGAAAGGGAAUUUAGAAAAAUGUCAAAUGAAGUCUGAAUAUAUACUGCAUGCAGGUGGAGGAUUUUUGAGGAAUAUUUAUGGAACAAAGUGCAGUCUCUUCCUAAAAAGUCCAGGCAUCCAAAAGAGACAUGAAGAGUCACUGUGGUUAUGUAAAACUGCAGUGAAAUUUCUGGUGGGACAGAGGGCUCUGAAGAGGUGGCAAUGAAGCAGUAAA
rnacentral:lncRNA from 1 species